CCAGAUCCUUUCGCCUUGGACAUGAAUCUUAAUCUCCUGAUCUCCAGCUAUAAUAGGACCAUUACUUACUGCAUUAUUACAGUGAACAAGAAACUCAUGCAAAAAAUGCAUUUGUUAAGAAUAACAAGCCAGAUGAAGUGAGAACUUCUAUUCAAAUGGACCUAGAUGAAAUGAUCAACAAAAGAAGGAAGUGGCAACCCAAGUGGAUGCACACGGAGUGAACACCUUCAAUGAACUCUUUAGAAUGGAAUAUAAAUGUAAUAAUAAACACCCCAAAUGUGGCAACUAGGCUGUUCAUUAUGCAAGAUAAAGGAACUUUGGAUGUCUGAACUGAAAGAUCUGCACUGAUUGUCGUUUGCUUACUUGACACAAGGUAUCAGUAUGAACCAUUAAAGCCCCAAAAGGCUAAUUUGUCCUUUCUCAGAAGCCCAUCUUUCCACCACAAGGGAGAACACAAAGGGUCUUCAUCUGACUUGUUCCCAGGUUUUGAAAUAUUCUCUUCAAACCUUCUCUUUGGUCCAAAUCAGCAUGUAAAAGAUCUAUGAUAUUUAAUGUUAAUUUUAAUCUGAGGUCAGCUCAGUGGCCUCUUAUAUGUGGAGUGAUGUAGAUUUUGAUCCCGGCCUCCUUAUUUUUAGCCUCUACACGAAACUGCCAAGAUCACCUGUCUGCUCAGGGGAUGGUAGCAUCAAUUUGAUACCCAAUUAUAUAUCACCAGCCUGGACUACACUGACAAAGUAGUCAAAGACAUGUUACCACUAUUUAGAGGUGCCAAGGUCUGGAGGGGAAUAAACCAGUUGUAGCUGAAUCUAAGCAAAACUAAGUUGCUGCUUUGUUUAUCAAGGUUCUCUGCCAGCUCCAAUACUGUCUAUUGAAGGGACUGUACUGUCCUUAAGUGAGCAGCUCCAUGCCUUAGUCGUCAUCCUGGAUUGAUGCUAUUGCUGACGGGGAGAUAGAGGCCCUAGAGAGGAGAUCAUAUGUCCAACUUCAGCUGAUGCAACAGUUCUAGCCCUACCUUGGUAGGAGAACCUUGCAAAGUAAUUCAUACUCUCAUCACCACUUAGUUAGGCUAUUGUAAUGUGUUCAACGUAGGGCUGCCUUUAAAAAUACUUGGAAAGUGUAGUUUGUUGAAAAUGCAAUUUUUCUAUCUUUCUAUUCAAGAUGCUAUUAAUAUAUGACAUCUGUCCUCAGGUGCUGCAAAAGCAGCUAAUAGGCUUCUGGGUGCAGUUUAAGAUCCUGGUUUUGACCCAUACAGCCCUAUAUGGCUUGGGGCUGAGAUACUU